GUAAUUUCUUGCCCUGGUGAUAGUAUUGAAAGUCCUAUCUCUGUAUUCCCAAAGUUAUAAAAUUACUUAUGUGAUUUAUCUGCCAGUUUAUAAUAUUUAUUUCUCUCACAUGCAUGAUGGAAUAUUUGUAAUCCUAUGACUUCUAUAUUUUAUUGCCUAACAAAUUAUCACUUCUUUUUUUUUAAUUCUUAAAAUAGUUUUUUUUUAAUUAGUAGACUUUAUUUUUUUAAGAGCAGUUUUAGCUUUUUGACAAAUUGAGCAGGACGUAGGUUCUAUUAUUAGUUUCUCUUAUUAAUAACAGCUUGCGCUCGUGGGAUACAUCUGUUACAAUUGAUGGAAGUCCAUUAUUUAUUUAGGCUUCACUGUAUACAGUUGAGUUUUGUUAACUGCAUAAUGUCAUCUAUCUACAAUUAUAGCUCAUACAGAUUAGUCUCAUUAUCCUAAAAAAUCCCUGGCCCUCCACCACCAAUAAUUUCUAUGCAGUUAACACCACUGGGUGGUGAGAACCCUCCCUACCCAUCUAUCUUUGGCCUUCAUGGAAAUGAAAUCACUUUAUUCCACUGGCCCUUUUUCCUUAUUUGUGUAUCUGUCUCCUGAUUUGCAAGGUCUCUGGAGAGUCAGCCUGUGGUCUCCUGAUAAGCUUCCGCAAGACAUGUGGUGAUCACGGCCCCCCUGCUUGGGACGGACUGCAAGGGAUCUAACAUGAAGAAGACUGAGCCCACGAAACAGACUGUGAGCGUUCCCACACCAGGACAUGGGCUAAGAUACACAGUUUUGGAGUGAGAUGGAAGGAGAAUGGUAUGAAGUGUCCAUUCUGUAGGGAAGUGUGUCCUAGAAGAAAAGCUCACCCUUUGGUCUCCUCUCUCAUCCUCUGGUAAUGAAAAGG
rnacentral:lncRNA from 1 species